rnacentral:rRNA from 1 species
UACAGAGGUCUCGAGCGUUAGGCGGAAUCACUGGGCUUAAAGCGUGUGUAGGUGGAUGCCUAAGUACCUUGUGAAAUCCCACGGCUCACCCGUGGAACUGCUGGGUAUACUGGUCGUCUUGAGCCACCUAGGGGCGAGCGGAACAAAUGGUGGAGCGGUGAAAUGCGUAGAUAUCAUUUGGAACGCCAACGGUGAAAACAGCUCGCUGGGGGUGUGCUGACGCUGAGACACGAAAGCCAGGGUAGCGAACGGG